UUCUUGUCUUCUGUCAGGAUUUUAAGUAUUUUCAUUUAAUUUUAAAGGUGGUUUGACAUUUGAUGUUAUCAUCGUUUUUUCUCACCAUUGCUAGUUGUCAUCAAAGUUCUCUUUUCUUUCCUUCUCUCUCUCUCUGUAUUUCUACUGAAGGUUUAGUUCUGGCUUAUAUGCAAGUGCUGGAUAAUGCUUUAUCAACUUGCUAGCUUCCUCUUAAUGAAGUAUAACUUUGUUGCAACUUUGGUCGGCCAACAACAGAGAUUUCUGGAGUUAGGAGAAAUUUCCUUUUCUCUGUCUCUCCUUUCAAACAUCUUGGAAGAAUACAAUGCAUUUUCUUUCUUAGUUUC